UUUGAAAGCCUUUGUCUCAUUUCCUCUUUUGUUUGUCUUGGUAUGUGCCCUUACUCCCUUUUGGUAAUGAGUCUUUUUGAAAGUCCUAUUGUCCCCUUUCUUCUUUUGUAUGUUCUUUGGGAUAUGUUUCAAGACUAAUAAAAUACUACAUUCUUUUCUCCACUCUUUAAGAUCAAACCACACCUAUUGAAUGUUCUUGUUCAACAAUAAAUGAUGAGCAUGAAGAACAACAAGAACACUCAAAAGAUUGAAACUAAACCAAUUGAACUCCAAAUUGAAUGAUUCUAGAUUCCUUUUGAUCACAUUAAACUCCACAACACAACCACACAUUUUUCAAGCCACAAUAUCAACAACCCUUCCAAUUUUGAGCUUCACCUCACCAGUUUCUUCAACCUUAAACUCAACAGUAGUGAACAACUCAAAAUCACCCGGAUUUAAAUCUAAUCAAAGAUCUAGACUCACUUAGUGUUAGGAAACAAGAACCUAAUACUAGAAACAAACAAAACAACUAUAAUCUCCUAAAUCUAAGUCUCAAAUUUCAGCUCAAACACAAAAACGGGAUAGAUUUCCUUUUCUGAGAUUUUCGGUUUUUCAAUACUUUUUUUUAAUUUUUCAACUAACAAGCCCAAGAUUGAUUUUGUUAGAACAAAAUCAAUCCUUGCUUUGACACUAAAUGAUACGAUAAAGACAAUGGAAGCACGAAACACACUCCAAAUCUAUCCGCAAUCAAACGAUCCGAGGAUCAAGAUGGAGACCACUCUCGGAUUCGCUAUCAACAAUAAGAAUACAAAAUACAAUGGUGUAUAUAACACCAAAAAUAGCUACAAAACGAGAGGAACAAGAUGAAUAAUAAUAACACAAGUUUUAGAUUCAAAAAAGGGCCCAAAAUAGUCCACUACAUAAGAUGACAACAACAAAAGUAAAUGAUAGAUAGUGAGACCAAGAUUAUUACAAGUUUAAGAAAUAAAGAGUGAAUUAAACUAAAAAAACCCUAAUGAAUAUAAUAAUCAAAACCACACUCUUACGGUGACCGCCAAGGGAAUCAACUCACCUCAAGAUCCACCGUUUCCAAGCAAAGAUCAAUACUAGCUUUUCCAAGCCCUAACUAAGACUAAGUGUUCUACUCUCAAGAGAGAGGAUUUUUAAUGUUUCAAUCUUUCAUAUUUCAUAAACUAACGAAAAUAAGACUAAAGGGCCUAUUUAUAAUAUAUUACAAAUGAAGAAAAAAAGACCAUUUUGCCCUUAAUGAGAGGAGCUGCCAUGGUAUGUAAAUACACCAUGUGUAAUGUCUAAAAUAUCCUUAAUGAAGAGGCAGCCAAGGUGCAUUAUAAAUUAAAUGAAUGGAGCCUCUUCAAUGCUCUCAAAAAUCGAGUAUGGUUCAUACUUCAAGGCUUGUGGUUCUCGGGUUAGCAUCAAUGUAAGCAACCAAGCAACCUUCCACACACGGGAUUACUUUGAGUCAUGCUCAAAACCGGUCCUCCAUGCAUGUUCUCAUAUCCUCGAGGUGACCAAGUCUUGAGCCUCUAUGUGUCGGCCUAUAAAGAUGUCAUCAAAAGAUAAGAUGACCAUUUGUCCCAUAUCAGAUUGGGUGCACGCCUUUUCCAUAGAGUAAAAUAAUUUAGUUAUCUUAUGUUGAAUCCUUUUGAAAAUUUUCAUUAGAUUUUUUCACAAAUGCCAAGUACAAGUUAUGUGAGAAACUCCUUCAUAGGCUGUUGCAGAUGCCUUUAUAAUGUUGUCAUGUCUGUCCGAAACUAUAGUCAUCAUUUGUCUCAAACCAUAUGCCACCUUAGAUUGCUCGAAAUAUCACUAUCAUGAUGCAUUAUUUUCUGAAUCCACAACUUCAUAAGCUAGUAACAUCAUACUCCUUAAACAGUACAAAGAGAAGUUACUGCUAAUACACAUAAAAUAUAUGUGAAUUAAAUAUUAUUCAUAUUCUAAACUUGAAGAUCUAGUGUGCUAGCUAUUAGCAUUGUUCUUUGUAUGCAAUCUCAAGAAAUCUUUCAUCAACGAUCACAAUUGGCCUACAAUACUCUCAUCUUUUUGUUGAUGAAUCUAGUGCCACUAACGAAUAGACAAAAUAUUGAUCCUCUGACUUGUGCAUUUUACAUGUGAACCUGGAUAAAUUUUUUCAAGCAUGUAAAAGUAACUACAUAAUCUAGUUAUGAAUCAGCAGGAUCGCCUCUCACUAAUUCUAAUGCCUUUUAUUUAACUCUCCAAGACUACAUGUACGUCAGAGUUAUACCAUAAUCAUCCAACAUGUCUUUUUGUAUCUCCUCAAGUUGUACUGUGUUUCUGUGUCAACAACUUUGUCCAGUAUAGGAGAUGCAACUAUUGAUGUUGUUUUUUUUUUUUAGAAGUUGAAUUAGGCCCUAGCAGACAUUCGCGCUCCCUGAUAUAAAUUCUAACCUUGAAUAUUUGAUUGUGUUCAAACUUGAUGCUCGCAAAUAUAAAUCACAAUUUUCACUCAAGCAUUCGAUUUCAUAGCUAUAGAAAAUAUAGUAGAAUAAGUUAAAUAGCUUAUAUGUAUUACUCCCUCCACUUAAAAAAGAAUGACUUACUUUCUUUUUAGUUCGUUUAAAAAAGAAUGACCCAUUUUCUUUUUUGACAAUACUUUAAUUUCAACUUUUCAUAUGGAAUGUUUAGGACCACAAGAUUAAAGGGCAUUUUGGUACAUUUGACACAACUUUAAUAUAAGGCCACAAGAUUCAAAAGUCUUCUUUAUUUUCUUAAACUUUGUGUCAAGUCAAAGUAGGUAAUUGUUUUUGAAAUGGAGGGAGUAUAACAUAAGAAUUAUUAGAAUAUAUUUACGUGCUGGCAUUCGAAUGUAUUUUCCUGAAUUGAAAUUUGUGAAUAAUGGAGUGAAGUUUCAAUGCAUUCACCAGAAUACUCUCUUCUUGAUAGAGUUGUCCUUCUAUCAAUUCCUGUUUUCGGUUAGUUAUGAUCGUUGAUUAUUGAGUGUUUGAAUACUCCUUAAUUUCUGCACUUAUUCCCAUUUCAGAUUCUUCGAUUCCAUCAUUCAUUACGACGAUUGAACUAGAACUCUAUGAAUUCAUAAUUUCAGAGGAAGUUGUGAAAUCAGAUUCGCACAAUAAAGAAAUCAAGCUUGAAUCAUUCUCUUGAAUCAUUAAUACCUUUGUAGUAAUACACAAAGAAUACAUUGUCAUAUCUCAUUUAUCCUUCUUCAUGUCAGCAUAUACUCGUAUCUCCAUAUAAUUCUGUAUUUUCAUUGAGGCUGGUCUAUUAUUAAUUUUGUAUUUGAUGCUAAUUUUUUUUAAAGACGUAUCAGUUGAUAAAUGUGUUGCAAUUGUUUAUACAUGAUUGUCAUAGGUUGAUUUAGUACUUAGGACCGAAGUAUCUGCAUUGUAAAGAUUGUAAUUUCCACUACUAUCCCAUCUUCCAUUGAAGUAAAGCAUAACAACAUAUGUUUUCAUUUUUAUUGUGACUUAUCCCUAUCACAAAAAGCAGACAUAGAAAGCUUAAUGAAAUAGUAUGAAAUAUAUAUCUACAUAAAUAUGAUACUCACAAACAACAUACAACUAGAAUUCAAUACUUUUGAUUCACCAAAUUAAAUGAAAACAUAUCACACACGGAUCUUGUUUGCUUUAUGUAUAUCCUUGUCCAAAGUAUAGCUCAUACAUUAUAGAAAUUUAGUUACCAAUCAGGACCGACUCGGACCGGACCAAAAUUCGAAUUACGUUUUUCUUAAUUUAAAUUAAAUUUGUUAUAUUUAAAUUAUAGAAUUAUAAGAAUUGUUUCUUUAACUUAAAUAAACAUUUUAUCUUUUUAAAAUUUUUUGUUAUAUAAAAAUAUUUUUUUUAUUUCAAACCUUAUAAAAAUUUAUAAGUUUUUGAAAUUUUUUGUUUCGAAAACUUGUAAAAAAGUAUUAAACUUGACUUAUAGAAAUUUUAUAACAUUAACUUAUAAUAAUUUUUAAAAAUUUCCUAACUUAUAAAAUUUAUAAGUUUUUGACUUAAAUUUUUUUUUUUUCAAAAAUUUGUAAAACAGGUAUUAAACUUGACUUAUACAAUUUAUAACAUUAACUUAUAAGAAUGUAUAAAACUUUUCCUAAUUUUAUAAAGUAAAACUAUUAAAGUUUAUUUUUUUAAAAAAAAUUAAAGUUACAAAUAUAAACUUUAUAAUUUUGGCUAAGCUUUUUUUAGUUUCCCGUCCGGUGUUCGGUGACCGCAUUGGAGACCCGACUAAUUCCGAUCCCACGUUGCAGGGCCCAUUAAGGUGGCAGCGCUCCCAAUAGAGUUUUCUCCAUACUCAAGGUCGAACCCUCAACUUCUGGUUAAGGGCGGAGCAGCCUCAUCCACUGCACCACAACUCAUGUUGGUUUUAGCUAAGUUAUUUAUAACAUUAGUUGUAUUAAAUAAAAGAUAAAUUUUAAAAUAAAAUUAAUGCGAAUAGCCUAUAUAUUUAUUUAAAUUUCAUCUGUUGUACACAUAUUACAAAUAUUAAAAGAGAAUCUAAUCGAUCCAGCCAUCUUCUAGGAAGGGUUCUAUUUGAAUUAGAUCUCACUCUAGUAUCUUAUUAGUAUCUACAACGUCCAAAAUAUUUUAGUUGUAACUUAAUUAUUCUUCGGCGGACAUAUUUUUUGGAAUUGGUCUUUUUUCUUAUUCUUCUAUUACAUCCAUUCCAUCCUCACCGUUUUCCUCAAAUAUUUCAUCUUCGAUUUAGGGCGGUAAUUUUGGAAGCCCAAAAUUUCUUUCUUCUGCAUUGAUCCAAUCUCUAAAUAAUACCAAAAUCUCCAAAAUGCUUUCUAAGAAUAUUGAUGAUCUCCAAUUAUAAAUUUUUCCGAGCUAAAAACUUGUUUCGAAGCAAUUGAAGAUGCUUGACUUGCUAGCACAUCUCGAACCACCCUUGAAAGCUUUGAAAAAUGUUUGAUAUGGGUCUUCCAUCGUGCUAAAAACUGAAGUUAUCCAUUUGCAUCUCUAAUAUUAUCCCGGUCCUAAGAAAGAUACGAAUCAAAAUCAUUAUUGCUAGAACACUGAAGACCAAGUCCUUCACCCAUCUCGUUAUCUAACUCAUCAUAUCUAGGCCUAGAAGUAGGAGGUUCGAUCACUGGAAUAUUUAGUUCCAUAACUUGAUACUAGUUAUAUAAACUCCCAACUUUAGGUACUAUGCUACCACAACAAGUUUCACCUGAUGAUUUUUCAUGAGGUUCGACUUCUAAAUUUUUGUAAAUUUUUUGCACCAUCAUCAUUGCACCAAUUUCUUUUAAAAAUGGGUUGAAUAAAGUACUUGUCAAAUAAAUUUGCGGAAUAGAAAAAAAUAUUUUUUAAAUUUAUUAAUAAUAGCUACAAUUGAGUUUUUGAGCAAAGAAAUUCUUUUAUAAUACGCAAGUACUUCAGAAACAACAGUAAUAUUUACUUAACAAAAGAAAUAGUUGGAGUACAUUGAGCAUAUACUAUAUUUGUAACUUGAUAAAAAGCUUUUAAAAAAUUACAAAGUUCUUCUAUUUCAGUCCAAUCAUCAUCACAUAAACUUAAAUCAAGAUUCAAAUUAUGAGCAUUAUAAACUAAUUGUAUGUGUCACGAUAUACAUAAGCAACUUCAAGCAUUUAAUAUAAAGAAUUCCAUCUAGUAGAAACUUCUCUUGGAACUUUCCACAACAACGUUUAAAAUCAUCCAUCAUAGCUUUUUUUUUUUUAAUAAAAAAUAAAACAACUAGCAAUUCGAACUUUAAAAUAACCAUUUUCAAACAACUAAACACUAUUUUUUACUAUCAAAUUUAAAAUAUGUACAAUACAUUUAUGUAACGCCCCAAGAUCCCAUCCCGAGAUGUCACAUGGUGCUUAAGGCCACACGCGGCCUCAAGCUAACCCUCUAAGCCUGUCGUCACUUCUAGAGCUCACUUUGACAAUAGUCAUGCUAAAAUAAGAGAGAAUGACAUAUCAUGAACAUACUGGAAUAACAUAAGGAACUAGCCUGUAUCAAAAUACUGAAAUUUUGUACAUACCAACCCUUUAGUCUGACAAAGCCUCUAUACAUCAAAAUCAAGGAAACAUUGGAACAAACUCCCUAACUAACUCAAACAAUACUGAAAGCCAUAACAACAAAAUAGUAUCACAAAAAUAUAGACACGGUCCUUGAACCAUGAGGACUCACCACUGAGAAGACGAAAAAAGGCACCCGAAUAUUGCUAACGUGACUACGGCUGAGUACCUAAACCUACAUUAUGAGAAAAUAUAGCCCAUAGGAAAAUAUGUGAGUCAACACUUUGGAAUGUACUGAGUAUGUGGGAGUGCAUGUAAAAAUGUAAAUAUCAUCAUCAAUUUCAUGAAAAUAUGCAUAUGUACAAUGGUGGCUCACUUGGCUUGAGUUAGAUUGAAACAUACUUUUCAUGAUCUCAUCGUAAAUAAAUAUAUGAUAAAAACCUCAUAAAUCAUCAUAAACAACUCAACUCUUCAACUCAAGACUCGGAGUGACUCUGUAAUUCAAGAAACUUGACUCUUAUGGACAUGAGAGGUUCUUAUAACCGAUAUAAACCAUAUGAGCUAUAUGGAGUCCAAUGUUUUGCCCUCCUAAGGAGAGAACCCCACAUUGGCGGGAGCGUCGUACUCUUGCCAGCGAGUACAACCUAAAUUUAGUGAUCACAAUCUUUUACUCAACCUCUAGCCCACAAUUAUCAAUAUCAAUCUUACGGUGGCACGUAGUUUCGGGAGAAAUACCAUAUUUCUCACUCGGUGCUAAAUACUACUCCCAGUAACAAGCUCAGAAUGCAUUAGGAAAUCCACCACAAACAUCACAAGGGUCUAUCAUAAGACCAAAUCAAAUCUCUUUCUCAUUUAUCAAAUCAUAAUCAAUUUUUAGAUUCCUAACUCGACUCAAUUCAAAUCAAUCUUUCUCAAUAUCAAUAUGUAUCAAUUCAUUACGUCAUGACAACAUCAAAAACUUUGAGAAAAUAUCAAGACUCAUUGUAACAACUCAAUUCUCAUUAAUCAAUAUACUCAAUAAUCCAAUUUGUCAUAAGGAAGCUUAAAGCUUGACACAUAUCUUGAAAGAACUUGAAAUACCAACUCAUGGUAGAAACAUGAAAUUCACAAUAUUAAAUAUCAAGUUAUAACUUGAAAAAUGUAAAAUAAUCAUGUAUAACAAAGCUUGAACAAUUUAUAUUCUCAUAAUCUCAUGAUGAAGUAAUUUGGGUAUAAAUCCACUUGCAAAAUCAUAUAAAUCCAUAAUAAAAAUCAAAGCUUUGGGCACAAGAACGAAAGAAUUGCUCUUGUUCAAAACCCCACAUACCUUGGAUUAUGAUUUUAAGAUGAACAAGCUUGAUUGGAAACUCUUCUUCACACUUUUGAGCUAAGUUUCUUGAUGCCUUUGACUUGGAGAAUUUGAUUCUUGAAAAACUUGGUGAAAUGUUUGGAAGAUUCAAGAAUUUCUUGGAGAAGAUUUGAUUUAGGAUUUUGGAAGAAAACUCUAGUUUCUAAUUUUUUUUUUCUUGGAAGAGAAUGAGAGAGAAUGAGGGGUUUCUCCUCUACUAGGAUAAAUAUAAAGGUUAAAAAGGGGUGGAAAAGACCAAAAUACCCUUGCAAAAAUUUCUCUUAGUUGCUGGAAAAAAUUAGCUGACGACAUCCGUGACAAGCCGUCAAGCCGGUGAUACGUCGUCACGAAAUAUCGUCACAAAAGGGUAAAAUUAUGAUUUUCUGCCUAAGGUUGACAACAUUGGUGAUAAGACAUCACAAGGGUCAGAAAUCUACCCAGGGCUGACGACAUUGGUGAUAGGUCAUCACGCUCGUGACAGCUUAUCACGAAUGUCAUCACUCAGUUUUCCAGCCUGACAUGCUAGAGUAAAAUGGGCAUAACUCUUUGCUCCGAUACCGAAUUUGGGUAAAAUUGGUAUCGUUGAAAAGAUAAUUCAAUUAUCUAUCUUUUGGUAGGUCAUGAUAUCAAUAAUUUAUAGUAUAACAAGAGAUAUGCUCAUUUGAAGUUGACUAUGCCAAAACCCUUCUUAAGAAUUCAAUCGGUAAGGAAUGUUUUGAUUCGCCCAAUCGUUAGGACAUCUUUAAGGCCUUAAUACACAUCACCCUUGACAACAAAAUAACUAAAACACUAUAAUUUAUUUCUCAUGAGCUUAAGUCAUGGUUGCACUAUUGGUUAGAAUCUCGGGAUAUUACAAUAUCUCCCUCUUGGAAACAUUCGUCCUCGAAUGUUGCCAGAUAGGCCAAGAACAAGAGAAAAAUGAGGACGUAUAAGUAUAGCUUGAACGACUCACUCAAAAGACUUACUUCACUUUAUACCUUCGAAUACUAUACAAAAUGUAUGAAUUCGUGAUGAAAGUAGACACACAGCUGAAUCUUUAAUAAGGCAAGGGCGGAAUUAAGAAAGAAUGGUACCUUCUGCUCUCUCCGAACUUACAGAAAAGAGGUGAGGAUACUUAGCUCGCAUAUCAUCUUCGGCUUCCCAAGUAGCACUCUCAACAGAUUGAUUUUGCCAAAGAACUUUAACCAAAGGAACUUCUUUGUUCCUUAGCCUACAGAUCUGAAAGUCCAAAAUCUCAACCGAAAUCUCCUCGAAUGAAAGGCUAUACUGAAUAUCUAAGCUUUUAGGAGAAUCAACCAAGACAGAAUCACCAAUACACUUCUUAAGCAUAGAAAUAUGAAAUACCGGAUGAACGCUAGACAACUCCACGGAUAACUCCACCUUAUAAGUUACUUUCCCAACACGGCUCGAAACCCUGUAUGGACCAACAUAACGAGGACUAAGCUUUCCAUUCUUCCCAAAUCUCUUCACCCCUUUAAUGGGUGAAACCUUCAAGUACACUAAAUCAUUAACAUUAAACUUAAGAUCUUUUCUUCUCACAUCCACAUACGACUUCUGACGACUUUGAGCAGUUUUCAAUCUUUCUCGAAUCAACUUAACUUUUUCCAUAGCCUCAAACACAGCAUCAGGCCCAAUCACAGCUGCUUCUCCUACUUCAAACCAACCUAUGAGCGAUCUACAUCUUCUUUCAUACAAAGCUUCGAACGGGGCCAUCUGAAUACUAGCAUGGAAACUAUUAUUAUACACAAAUUCGAUCAAUGGUAGGUGCUCAUCCCAACUACCUUUGAAAUCAAGUGCACAUGCGUUCAACAUGUCCUCCAAAGUCUGAAUAGUCCUCUCAGCCUAACCAUCGGUCUGCGGAUGGAAAGCAAAACUUAGAUGAACUUGGGUACCGAGACCUUUCUGAAAAGCCCUCCAAAAUUGGGAAGUAAAUUGAGUACCCCUAUCAGAGAUGAUAGCCAAAGGAACUUCAUAAAAUCUGACUAACUUACAGAUAUAUAAUCUAACAUAAUCCUCAGUUGUAUAAGACGAAUGCACUAGCAAGAAAUAAGCUGAUUUAGUCAAUCGGUCUACAACAACCCAAAUUGAAUCAUGAUGACGACGAGAAGGAGGCAAACCAAUUAUGAAAUCCAUAAUCACUUUUUCCCACUUCCAAGUAGGAAUGCUAAACUCUUGCAUUACACCACUGGGACUUUGGUGCUCUAGCUAAACUUGUUGACAAGUAGAACACUUUACUACAAAUCCUGCUAUGUUUUUCUUCAUACCGUUCCACCAAUAGAUUUCCCAUAAAUCGUAGUACAUCUUGGUAGCACCAGAAUGAAUAGAAUAUCGCGGACUAUGCACUUCAUCCAUAAUUCUCUUUCUUAGAUCAUCAACAUCGAGAACACAUAAUCUACCCUGCAAUCUCAACACACCAUCUCCCUCUUGGGAGAAAACCUCUACCUUCUAGUCCUUAAUUGACUCCUUCAGCCUGACCAAACUAGGAUCCCUGUCCUGCUUCUCCUUUACCUCCAAGACCAAAAAGGACUCGGAACUACUUUGAACUAACAUACUUCUUUCAACAGAAUCAAGCAAUCUAACAUCUAACCUAGACAAACGAUGCACAUCAAGAGCCAAUUCUUUCUUAUCAUUCUCUAGAUGAGCUACACAACCCAUAAACAACUUGCUAAGAGUAUCUGCUACAAUAUUGGCCUUGCCCGGGUGAUACAUCACACUUAUAUCAUAGUCUUUUAGCAACUCUAACCACUUCUUUGUCUAAGGUUCAACUCCCUCUGAGUAAACACAUACUGCAGGUUUUUAUGAUUUGGUAAACACAUCAAUAUGAACACCAUACAAAUAAUAUCUCCAGAUUUUCAAAGAAAAAACGACAACUACUAAUUCAAGAUCAUGGUUUAGGUAAUUCUUCUCAUGAGUCUUCAACUGUCUAGAGGAAUAAGCUAUAACUUUACCCCUCUACAUUAACACACAACCCAAACCAACUCUAGAAGUAUCAAAGUACACCACAAGACUAUCAGUACUAUCGGGUAAAGCUAACAUUGGGGCUGAAGUAAGUCGAGUCUUCAACUCCUAAAAACUCUCCUCACAAGCAUCUGUCCACUGAAACUUAACUUUCUUUUGGGUCAACCGGGCCAUGGGAGACGUGAUAGAAGAGAAGCCCUAAAAAAAUGAUGGUAGUAACCAUCUAGACCCAAGAAACUCCUAAUGUCAGAUGGGGAGGUAGGCCAAGGCAAAUUUUUACUGCUUUUCUCUUUUGGGGAUCGACUCUAAUGCCUUCAGCGGAAACAAUGUGACCCAGAAAAGCAACUGACCUUAACCAAAAUUCACACUUGCUAAAUUUAGUGAAUAAUUGAUGAUCUCUAAGAGUUUGCAAGAUAAUUCUAAGGUGGUCGGCAUGAUCAUCCUCUCUUCGAGAAUACACUAGAAUAUCGUCUAUGAAUACAAUGACAAACAUAUUGAGAUAUUGCUUGAAUACUCGGUUCAUAAGAUCCAUGAAGGUCGCUGGAGCAUUAGUUAACCCAAAGGACAUGGCAAGAAACUCAAAAUGAUCAUAGCGGGUUUAGAAGGCUAUCUUUGGAAUAUCACACUCUCUCACUUUAAGCUGAUGAUACCCGAAUCUAAGGUCUAUCCUUGAGAAAUAACUUGCACCCUAUAGCUGAUCAAAUAAAUCAUCGAUUCUAGGAAGAAGGUACUUGUUUUUGAUAGUUACCUUGUUGAGUUGACGGUAGUCAAUACACAUACGUAAUGUACCAUCUUUCUUUCGCACAAAUAGAAUAGGUACACCCUACGGGGAAACACUGGGUCUGAUAAAGCCUUUUUCUAAGAGAUCUUUGAGUUGCUCCUUCAAAUCUUUAAGUUCUGUCGGAUCCAUACAAAAUGGAGGGAUGGAAAUAUAUUGAGUGCUGGGAAGAAGAUCAAUCCCGAAUUCUAUUUCUCUAUAAGGUGGGACCCCUGAGAGGUCUUCCAGAAAAACAUCAGGAAACUCAUUAACAAUGCUAACUGACUGAAUAGUCAGAGUCUCGGACUUGAGGUCUUUAACUUGAAUUAGAUGAUAGAUACAACCCUUGGAAAUCAACUUCCUAGCUUUGAGGUAGGAUAUGAAAUAGCUCUUUGGAGUUACAGAACUCCCGGACCACUAAAAAAUGGGCUCGUUAAGAAACUGAAACUUGACCACUCGGGUACAAUAAUCUAUAGACGCAUAGCACGAGUAAAGCCAAUCUAUACCCAGAAUGACAUCAAAAUUAACCAUAUUUAGCUCAAUCAAAUCAACACAUAUGACCCGAUGAAGGACAGUAACAAGACACUUCUUAUUCACUCGCUUAGCAAUAACAGAUUCUCCUACCGGGGUAGAAACCAGAAUAGGUUCAGGAAUCCAUUCAGGGUCCAUCUCAAAAUUUACAGCAACCAGAGGUGUCACACAAGAAAAACUCAAAUCGGAGUCCAUCAAUACAUACACAUCAAAAUGAAAGACAUGGAGAAUACCAGUGAUAACAUCUGGAGAAUCCUCCUGCUCCUGGAGAGGUGGUAUAGCAUAGAAGCGAUUCUGGCGCGAACCACCAGCAGUACUAGAAGAGGCGCCCUAAGGAGAAACUGGGCGAACUAUGGGAGCAGAGGCAUUGGUAGCGUGACUCUAGGGACGAGCAUCUUGACUCCCCUGUCUAAAAUACGUAUAAUCUCUAAGUCGGUGGCCCAACUUGCCACAACCAAAGCAACCCCUCUGAUCAAUAAAACACUCUUCAAAAUAAUCUCUACCAUACUUGGCACAUGAAGAAGGUCGAGGUUUGUUACUUACACUUUCCUGAGACCUGGAUGGGAUAGGCCUGUUCCCCUGCUCUUGCUUAUUUCUAGGUGCUAGAGCAUUAACUGAGGGAGGCGCAGGCAUAAAUAGAUAUUUUUGGAAUUAAGGGUAGUCCCCUCCAUAGAAUCUGAACUGAUCAAAUCCCUGCUGCUCUGAUCUAGCUCUUUUGUUCCCUCUUACUCUCUCCUUCUCUUUCACCUUAUCAACUUUAAUCUAUUGGGCAUGUAUCAUUAACCGAGAAAGGUCCAUCUUCCUAUUAAGCAUAGCAGAUCUACCCUCUUUCAUAACGUAACUCGACACACCAGUCACGAACUUAAUCAUGAUGGUCCUGGAGUCAGCCAUCAUACUAAGAGCAUAUUUAGACAACUAAUUGAAUCUAAGGCAAUACUCCUUAACAGUCAUGGAGCCUUGUCUCAAAUUCAUGAAUUCCUCUAUCUUUGCUUCCCUCAUCUCAAGAGGAAAGAAUCUGUCCAAGAACGCAUCCUGGAAUAAUUGCCAAGUUAUGGGAGUGGCAUCCUCUCCUCUACUUUCCCUCCAUAUUUCUACCCAAUCAUAUGCAAUAUCUUUUAUUUGAUAGGCAGCCAAUCAACACUCCCCUCCUCAGUCACGUGCAUAAUUUGGGUGAUCUUUCUCACUUCAUCUAAGUAUAUCUGUGGGUCUUCACCUACCUUCGACCUAUAGAACUCAGACAGAUUCAUCCGCAUAAAGUCUCGAACCCAAAAUGCAACAGAAUUAUUCUCUUGUGAAGGCAGAAUAGUAGCUUGGGUGUUAGCUUGAGUAUCGGUGGUAACUGCUUGGGCUAGCACCUCAAAAUCUACCCAAAAUUCUGUAUGUGACACAUGCUCGUUCAGGGGAUCAACGAGUUGAAUUUACUUGUUGUUUCUACGAGCUCGACUAGGAGGCAUUUUCUGUUAUAAGAGAGUAUGGGUUAAUUGCAGAUAAAGACAGUUGUAGGCAUGAUAAACUUUAGAAAUAAAGAAAUGACUUUUCCUAAAACGUCCCGUAGCCUCUUGCUCAUAAAUGUGGCGCACUACACAUCGAUGAUCAAGACUCUACGUAACAUGGCUUGUCAAACUCCCUAGGACUCUUUAAACCUUAGGCUCUGAUACCAAGCUUGUAACGCCCCAAGAUUUCAUCCCGAGACGUCACAUGCUGCUUAAGGCCACACGUGGCCUCAAGCUAACCCUCUAAGCCUGUCGUCACUUCUAGAGCUCACUUUGACAAUAGUCAUGCUAAAAUAAGAGAGAAUGAUAUAUCAUGAACAUACUAGAAUAAGAUAAGGACUAGCCUGUACAAUCAAAAUACUGAAAUUUUGUACAUACCAACCCUUUAGUCUAACAAAGCCCCUAUACAUCAAAAUAAAUGAGACAUUGGGAAAACCUCCUAACUAACUCAAACAGUACUGAAAGUCAUAACAAUAAAACGGUAUCACAAAAAUAUAGACACGGUCCUCGAACCAUGAGGACUUACCACUGAAAAGACGAAAUGAGGCACCCGAAUAUUGCUAACGCGGCUGCGACUGAGUACCUGAACCUAUAUUACGAGCAAAUGUAGCCCAUAGGAAAAUAUGUGGGUCAGCACUUUGGAAUGUACUGAGUAUGUGGGGGUGCAUGUAAAAAUGUAAAUAUCAUCAUUAAUUUCAUGAAAAUAUGUAUAUGUACAAUGAUGGCUCGCUUGGCUUGAGUUAGAUUGAAACAUACUUUUCAUGAUCUCAUCGUAAAUAAAUCAUAUGAUAAAAGCCUCAUAAAUCAUCAUAAACACAACUCAACUCUUCAACUCAAGACUUGGAGUGACUCUGUAAUUCAAUAAACUCAAAUCUUAUGGACAUGACAGGUUCUUAUAACCGACAUAAAUCAUGUGAGCUACAUGGAGUCCAAUGUUUUGCCCUCCUAAGGAGAGAACCCCACAUUGGCGGGAGCGUCGUACUCUUGCCAGCGAGUACAACCUAAAUUUAGUGAUCACAAUCUCAUACUCGGACUCUAGCUCACAAUUAUCAAUAUCAAUCCUAUGGUGGCACAUAGUUUUGGGGGAAAUACCAUAUUUCCAACUCAGUGCUAAAUACUACUCCGAGACACAAGCUCAGAACGCGUUAGUAAAUCCACCACAAACCACAAGGGUCUAUCAUAAGACCAAAUCAAAUCUCUUUCUCAUUUAUCAAAUCAUAAUCAAUUUGUGGAUUCCUAACUCAACUCAAUUUAAAUAAAUCUUUCUCAAUAUCAAUAUGUAUCAAUUCAUUAAGUCAUGACAACAUAAAAAACUUUGAGGAAAUACCAAGACUCAUUGUAACAACUCAAUUCUCAUGAAUCAAUAUACUCAAUAAUCCAAUUUGUCAUGAGGAAGCUUAAAACUUGACACAUAUCUUGAAAGCACUUGAAAUACCAACUCAUGGUAGAAACAUGAAAUUCACAAUAUUAAAUAUCAAGUCAUAACUUGGAAAUUGUAAAAUAAUCAUGUAUAACAAAGCUUGAACAAUUUAUAUUCUCAUAAUCUCAUGAUGAAGUAAUUUAGGUAUAAACCCACUUGUAAAAUCAUAUAAAUCCAUAAUAAAAAUCAAAGCUUUGGGCACAAGAACGAAAGAAUUGCUCUUGUUCAAAACCCCACAUACCUUGGAUUAUGAUUUUAAGAUGAACAAGCUUGAUUAGAAACUCUUCUUCACACUUUUGAGAUAAGUUUCUUGAUGACUUUGACUUGGAGAAUUUGAUUCUUGAAUAACUUGGUGAAAUCUUUGGAAGAUUCUUGAAUUUGUCGGAGAAAUUUGAUUUAGGAUUUUGGAAGCAAACCCUAGUUUCUAAAUUUUUUUCUUGGAAGAGAAUGAGGGGUUUCUCCUCUACUAGGAUAUAUAGAGAGGUUAAAAAGAGGUGGAAAGAACCAAAAUACCUUUGCAAAAAUGUCCCUUAGUUGAUGGAAAGAAUUAGCUGAUGACAUCUAUGAUAAGUCGUCAAGCCGGUGAUACGUCGUCACGAAAUGUCAUCACAAAAGGGUGGAAUUAUGAUUUUCUACCUAAGGUUGAAGACAUUGGUGAUAAGGCAUCACGGGUGUGACGGCUUAUCACAAAAUAUCAUCACAAGGGUCAGAAAUCUGCCCAGGGCUGACGACUUGGUGAUAGGUCGUCACGCUCGUGACAGCUUAUCACGAAUGUCAUCACUCAGUUUCCCAGCCUGACAUAUUGGAGUAAAAUGGGCAUAACUCUUUGUUCCGUCACCGAAUUUGGGUGAAAUUAGUAUCACUGGAAAGCUAAUUUAAUUAUCUAUCUUUUGGUAGGUCAUGAGAUCAAUAAUUCGUAGUAUGAUAAGAGAUAUGCUCAUUUGAAGUUGACCAUGCCAAAAUCCUUCUCAAGAAUUCAAUCGAUAAGGAAUGUUUUUAUUCGCCCAAUCGUUAGGACAACUUUAAGGCCUUAAUACACAUCACCCUUGAACAUAAAACAACCAAAACACUAUAAUUUAUUUCUCAUGAGCCUAAGUCAUGGUUGCACUAUUGGUUAGAAUUUCGGGGUAUUACAAUUUAACAUGAAAAUAAUCAUCAUCUAGUGAACAUAGUCUAACUUUUUAAAAAUCAUUAAAUUUAAAAUUGUUAGAAACAUUAUCUAAUGUGCAUGCCAUAAUUUUAUCAAUAAGUUUAAAAUAUUUCAAGUUUUCCCCUAUUGUACCAGCUAAAUAGCAAUCAGUUUUAGUCUCGUCGACAUAGCAAAAUUUUUUUUUUGCAUGUUUCAAUGGUGAUCAAUUCAAUGAGUUGUGCGAGUAAAAUAAUCAUUACCAUAAAUACUAUGAUCCAUAUCAGAAGUAAUAGAUACUUUAUCAUCAAAUUACUAAGUAAGCAACAAAGAAAAUGACAAUAUUCAGCUAGUUAUUUAAAAAUAUCAUUUUUGAUUGUAUUUCGUGAAAAACCUUUCUAAUGAAUAAAAUAGGGAUGUGAAGGAAAACUAAAAGAUAAACCCAUAACAAAAAUUAUUUUUGCUAAUUCUUCUCUAUCUACAUCUUCACUAUAUGUCGAUGAUGAGCUUGGGCCAAUCAGGUUAUACAUGUUUAAACAAGUCUGAACCAUAUUACCUCCUACAAAUUCUUUCUAUAAUAGUGUAUCAUUUUUUUUGUCUUAGCCUCCUUUUCUAGAUGAAUAAUUCUUACAUAUCCUCAAAUGCGUACUUAGCAAUCUUGUCCCGUCAUUAUUUUUUUUAGUGAAAUAUUUCAUAACUCUCUUGCAUUUAUUGAAAGUAAUAGUAUAUUUUACCUUAUCAUGUUUUAUAAAUUUUCAAACUAAAGACCUUUUAGAAUAUUUGGUACCUUUGACUCUAGUAAAUUUCAAUAAAGGGGAAACUUCUUCACCUUUUUUUGAUAAUUCCGUAACCAGACUAGUAGGGAUAGGGGUUUCACUUAACUCUUUUUCUUCUAUAUCAUCUUCUUCUGAUAAGUCUUCCUCAAAAUUAUCAUAAUGCCUACUUAGGGUCUCAUGGUCUAAUUCCAUACCGGCACAAACAUCGAAAUUAUUAGGCUGUGAUAAAGAAGUUUCAUUAACAUUACUAAAUCUAUGCGGUAAUAAACUAGUAGAAGCACUAUUUUUUUUUACUUCUACGAAAAAUCUCACCAAAGAUUUUUUAACAUUAUUGUUUUUAUUGGCAUCCAUAAUUAAAUUUAAAUAUAGCAAAAAUAUUAAAACAAGCAAUAUAAAUAUUAUUAACCAAAAAUUAAUAAAAGUAAACAAAUACGAUACUAAAAAACAAAAAUAUAGAUAUUAAAGUAAGCAAAAAGAGAAAUUAAAAUUAGAACGAAUAUAACGAACACCUGUGUAAAAGCAGACAUAUACCAAAUAUCAAAAUUAAAAAAUGAAAACCAAAGCUUGUAAUAUCUUCAAAAAAUCUCCAACUCCAACUAGCUAAUACAACAGUCAUAAAUAUUAAGAGAAUACUAUGGAGAUUUUUAGAGUUGAAUAUAUUAGAGAGAGUAUGAGAAUAUUUGUGGGAAAAAAAUAAGUAUAAAAGGAAUAUUUACAGUGAAAAUUUGUUAAUGGGAUAGUGGAGGACUUUGGAAGGAAGGAGUGGGGGCGUGAGGGAGGAUAUUUUGGGAUUCAAAAUACCAACGGCUAUAAACCAACCAUUACAUUAAUUAAAAAAUAAUAAUAAAAUAAAAUUUGAUUAAUUAUCGGACCGACAUCGAACUGGAACUAGGUUAAUCGAAAUCAAAACUAUCAAAAAUAAUCCAGGAUCUGUAUCGAUACCGGCUUCUGGACUAUUGGGAUUGGAAUUACCAGUUUCAACCGGUACCGUAGCGUGACUGGAAUAGUACCGUGACCGAAAUGGACCAUUCCGAUGAAGCUCCGAUUCGUUGACACCCCUACUAAUACCACCAAAUGGGAUGUAUUAGUUAUACACCCUAUGAUACCAUGCAACCCCAAAUUGCUAUCAAAUAAAGUAUUAAAUAAUAUCAUACUUAAUACAUGAAUUAUUUCUCUAAUACACUUUACCAAACAAUUCCUUAAUAUGUGUCAUGAUUCAACAAUGGUCUUCAUGUUAAUCAGACAUUCAGAGGUCAAAACCAAUUGUCAGUUAUAUUCGCAAAUACAUAAAUUGUAAUUCCUUUUCAUGUUAUAAACAAAUCAUCCGAAUAAUCAUUAAAUCGUACUGAAGAAAUUAAAGUUUCUUCAUAUUCAAAGAUCUAAAAUGAGCCACAAAUCACCAAAUCGUGGUGAAGAAAUUGAAGUUUCUUCAUUUUUUGAGAUCAACUGAAAAUCUGAAAUUAAUACACUAAACAAUAAAUUCAAGUGAACGAAAUUAGAAGUACAUGAUUGAACUAGUACUCAGAAACAAUAUACAUUCAUAAUUCAGUUACAAAUGAACCAUAAAACACCAAAUCAUACCAAAGAAAUUAAAGUUUCUUCAUAAUCUGAUAUUAAACAAAAUUAAUACACUAAAAUCAGACACAAAUUAUAUAAUUUGUAAUGAAUUAUUGAGCUCAUACUCAAAAACAACAUACACAUGCAAUUCAAGUACAAUUUUCCACAAAACGAUAAUUCGUAGCGAAGAAAUUGAAGUCUCUUUAUAAUCUGAGAUUGAACAAAGUUAAUACACUAAAAUCAUACGCAAAUUAUAUAAUUUAUAGUGAAUUGUCGAGCUCAUACUCACAAACAACAUGCACAUGCAAUUUAAGUACAAUUCGACAUCAAAUCACAAUUUUGUAUUGAAGAAAUUGAAGUUUUUUCCAUAAGAAAUGGAUGAAUAAAUACAAUAACAUUCACCACAAUUGCAGAUUAAAUUAAUCAAAAUUAUAAUUACCUUAAGAUUUUUGACAAUUUUGCGGUAAUUUUCAGCCGGAUCAAUAAUAGAGAAUGUGACAGAGAAAUUAAAAGGAAGAAAUUAAAGGAGAGAGAUUAUAAGGAGAGUGUUUGAGACGUAUUUGGACAAAAUUUGAUAGAGAAUCCUUUGAUGUAAGGAAAGUAUAGUGGGAUUUUCUAUAAAAGGUAAGAAAAGAUAUGCUACGGGUUAUAAGAGAGAAAGUUAGACCAUAAGUCAUAAUAAAUGUUUCUUAAUAUAUCAUUUAUGUAAAUAGGCCUUAAAUUUUAUUACAGAAAAAUAGCCAUUUUAUUUAUUGCUACUGAGAAUAGCCUUUCGGCCAAGGUUAUUGCUUAAAAUGGCCAGUCGGUCAAAUUAAUUACAAAUAAUAUGAUUGUUCAUUCAUUUUCGAUCUUCUGCUUCUUCUUUCCUCCCCUUUCCUCAUUCCUUCUUCUUCUUCCUUCUUUCCUUCCUCCUCCUCUGGUUUCUUUCAUAUUCGAGCAUUAAGGCUUUUUCAAAAAUUUGACAUACUGCAAACGUAAAUUGUUUCGAGCGAAUUAUAUGUCAAAAGAUUCAAAAUAUCGAGAGAAACCCAUAUCUAAAAUUUAGAACUAUUUAGAGAAAAUUUUGAAUUGGUCAGAAUUGAAAGAACUUGCAAACCAAGUUCUUUAAUGGUCAUACAUACAUGUAUAUGCUGCCUUUUAAGCUCUAUAUGAUGAAAGGUUUGAGUGCAAAUUUGGAGAUAAAAUAUCUAUUACCUGUAAAAUCCUCAAGCAUAAUAAAAUGACCGUGUAGAAACCAUGUGUGCAUCAAUUUGUUUUUCAAGUUGUGCCACCAUAUCUAGAAGCAAGAUCCUUUGACUGUGGACAUGAAGCUAAAUAUAAUACACAUUUGUUAAUUGAUUAUUGUGAAGAUCCAACAUCUUCUUUUUUAAUUUCUAAAUGGAGAACCAGGGUGGAAGAUGACGUAUUUCAUUGGAAUUUAUUUGCAGAGUGAUCUAUAUAAUUUAUAGUAGUAUUUGUUGGUUGUUUAUGCACUAUUAUGUAAUAUCGAUGCAUCAUAUAUGCAUUACAUAACUAUUUAUACAAUAUCUAUACAUUUUUAUACAUAUUUUAUACAAUAUCAAUACCCGUUUGUAUAUCAUUUAUACAAUAUUCAUAUAUUAAAUCACUAUUUGUACAAUAUCGAUACAUGUGUUAUAUUCCACAAUACGGGUACGUAGAAUCUGUAUAAUAGAAUAACAUCUUCAACUCGAGUUCAAGUAUGAACAAGAACACAACAAAGUUGAACAAAUACCCUCAACACAAGAUCAAAAUAAUCUUACAAGAGGUGUAUUUUAUAUUUUAGAAAUAUAGAUGAAAUAGAAAUUGUAAGGUCAAGUCAUCCGCAUUCACGGACUUUUCUUAAGGAAUAAUUCCCCUCACUAUACCCGAGGUUAUGGAAUCUUCCUCCCAGGAUAGAAUGGCCUUCAAUCCGACUAUAGCGGUACCUCAAAAGGCGGAUUCUUCGAACACACUCAUGGAUUGAAUGAUCACACUUAAAGUAUUUUUAAGAAGAAGAAGAAGCUUGUAAUUCUGAAAUUUUUUUCUGUGUCCUAAACCUGUGGAUGAAAUCAGGUUUAUAUAGCCACAAGAUGCCCCUUUGAAAAGGUGGAAAUGGUUCAAUCUUAAAGGUGUGUCUAUUAUGAAAAAUUACAUGGUUGCAGUAUUUCAUUAGGGCUGAGCCAGUGUGCAGUACUUUACUGCAACAGUGCACCUUUUCACGAAACAGUGGCACCAUUUCGAUGAAGUGUUGCAAUAAUUCAUGAAGCAGUGUACCAGUUCACUUGAACCAACACCUGUUCCUGUGUUUCUGCAUGCAUCAAAAAAUGUUUCAGCAUUCCGCGAUAAAACAUCACAAUUGUUCGUUGAAAUAGUGUAAACAGUGGCAUCUGUAUGCAUGUAUGGAGUCGAAAACAUUGUGCAAAAAAAUUCUACUGCAUUUUCCUUUGGCAUUCUUCAAAAUUCAAAUAAAAUUUGUAUAAAAAAUAGAUCUCAUUGAUCGAUCAUUUGACAAAUCCGAAUUCAAAUUUGAAGCCGAAGCCGAAGCCAAGCCGAGCGAGCGAUGACGAAGGUGCGAGGCAUCUCUUAUUUCUUGCCUCACUUGCCAUGUGGAUUAAGUAUUCAUCAUUAUAAAUACUCCAAAGUUCCAUUCUCUCACCAAUGUGGGAGAAUUAGUGAACUUUCUAAUUUGGGAGUACACCUUCUAAAUUGGUGUCCUUCUUUCACCAUUUUUUUCCUCUCUAUUUUUCCAUUCACACCUUUUCAUUACUAUGAACCCAACAGUCCCCCACAUGAAUGAGGAGUGGCUAUUUUUUCAUAAAAGUUUUACAUACAAGUAUGUGAUCAUCAAUUAAAGACUGAUUGCAUCUGAAUAAGUGGGUUUCCCUUUGAACUUUUCGUAGUGAACAUACAUCGGAUGCACUCGGUCAAUCGGUAGAUUUGAUAUCUUUGAACCGUCGAGCUUUAAUGUACACCUAGACAAAACAUGUCACACAACCAGCCUUUUACCAUUUAUGGUUCUUACAAUUUUAUUCUUUUCAACCAUGAACACGUUCCGAUUUUUAUGAGAGCUUAGAGAAUAGGCCUUUUCUAAUAUUCUCUUUGAAGCGGCUUCCACUUCGCCCACAAAUAGGUGAUUUCUAAAUGUUCAAUCCUGUAGAUUAAACUAUUUGGUCAAAUCUGCCAAAUUUAGAUAAUCAUUAAAAGACUUUUCACCUUAAGUCUUAUCCUUGUUUACUAUACAUUUUCUACAUCAUGAGAAUGGGUUGGGUAAUUAACAAUGUUGAACCUGUCAGACACAACUUUGUUUGAUCUCCUUGAACCUAGCUCUUAAGAUCUCCAGUCUGCUAGGUAGAGUUACCACCAUUCUGACUUGUCCUAGGCCUUAAACUCAUUCCCUUGGAUGUUCUUUCCACUUCUUCUCUAGAUAGACCUUUUGUAAGUGGAUCGACACAUUAUCCUUUGACUUUGCAUAGUCUAUAGUGAUAAUUCCACUAGAGAGAAGUUCUCUAACGGUAUUAUAUCUUCAUCUUAUAUGACGAGAUUUACCGUUAUACAUCAUGCUCCUUGCCCUACCUAUUGCUGCUUGGCUAUCACAAUAUAUACAUACUAGUGCCACUAGCUUGGGCCAAUACGGAAUAUCAUCCAAGAAAUUUUGGAGUCAUUCUGCUUCUUCACCGGCUUUAUCUAAUAUGAUAAAUUCAGAUUUCACUAUAGAGCGAGCGAUUCCAAGAAACUGCUCCUCCACCGAUAGUAAAUACAUAUCCACUUGUGGAUUUUACUUCGUUCGAUCCGGUGAUCCAAUUUGUAUCACUAUAUCCUUCAAGUACCGCAGGAUAUUUCUUAUAAUGCACAGCAUAAUUUUGAGUGUAUUUAAGAUACCCCAAAACUCUUUUCAUUGCCAUCUAGUGAGUUUUGUUGGGAUUACUCGUGUACUGACUCAAUUUACUGAUAGCGCAUGCUAUAUCUGAUCGUGUACGAUUCAUUAUAUACAUUAAACAUCCCAAUACUCUCGCAUACUCCAAUUGUGAGUCACUUUCACCUUCAUUCUUUCAAAGUGCAACACUCAUAUCCAAUGGAGUCUUGGCAAUAUCGAAUUCCAUAUACUUGAACUUGUCAAGUACCUUUUCGAUAUAAUGAGACUGUGACAAUGCCAACCCUUGUGGAGUUCGAUGGAUUUUUAUACCUAAGAUAACAUCUGCAACUCCAAGGUCCUUCAUAUCAAACUUGCUCUCGAGCAUUCAUUUUGUUGCAUUUAUGUCAGAAAUGUCUCUACUGAUGAUUAACAUAUCAUCCACAUAUAAACAUACAAUGACUUGGUGAUUUGGAGUGUCUUUAAUAUAAACACAUUUAUCACAUUCAUUUAUUUUGAAUCCGUUUGCCAACAUGGUUUGGUCAAACUUCGCAUNNNNNNNNNNNNNNNNNNNNNNNNNNNNNNNNNNNNNNNNNNNNNNNNNNNNNNNNNNNNNNNNNNNAUAAGUUUACACACCUUGUUUUCCUUUCCUGGAACCACAAAACCCUCAGGUUGUUCCAUGUAAAUUUCUUCCUCCAAAUCUCUAUUUAGGAAUGCGGUUUUUACAUCCAUUUGAUGAAUUUGAAGAUCCAUAUACCUCACCAAGGCAAUUAACAUUCGAAUCGAGGUUAUCCUUGUUACUGAAGAGUAUGUAUCAAAGUAAUCAAGGCCUUCUUUUUGUUUGAAGCCUUUUACUACAAGUCUUACCUUGUAUUUGUCAAUAGUACCAUCCGUCUUCAUUUUCCUUUUUAAGAUCCAUUUAGAACCUAAAGAUUUAUUUCCGGGAGGAAGGUCAACCAAUUCCCAUGUAUGGUUGUUUAAGAUUGAAUCAAUCUCACUAUUGACUGUCUCUUUCCAAAAGGAUGAGUCUGACGAAGACAUCACUUCUUUAAAUGUUUGAGGCUCAUUUUCUAAGAGAAAUGUUACAAAAUCCGACCCAAAUAAAGUUGACGUUCUUCGACGUGUACUACGUCUUGAAUUUUAUUCAUUAUGUACAUUCUCACUUGGUUCAUCUCGAGGUCGUUUAGAUCCCCUCUAGAUUGUUCAUGUCUAAUUUUAUACGGGUAAAUAUUUUCAAAGAAUUCAGCAUUGUCUGCUUCAAUUACCGUAUUUUAACUAAUAUCCGGAUGUUCGGAUUUAUGAACCAAAAAUCGACAUGAUUUACUACUUUUAGCAUAUCCUAUGAAUGCGCAAUCCACCUUUUUAGGUCUUAUCUUAACCCUUUUAGGUAUAGGAACUUGUACCUUUGCUAGAUACCCCACACUUUGAAAUAUUUCAAGUUAGGUUUCCAUCCUUUCUAUUUUUUGUAAGAAAUUGAUUAUGUCUUACUAUGGGGAACUCUGUUGAGUACUGCCGUAAGGAUAGCCCCCCCCUCCCCCCAUAAAUUUUGCGGUAAACCAGAACUUAUAAGUAAGGCAUUCAUCAUUUCCUUCAAAGAUCGGUUUUUCCUUUCCGCAAUUCCAUCAGAUUGAGGUGAAUACGGGGCCGUAGUUUGAUGGAUUAUUCCAUUCUCUACACAUAUUUGCGCAAAGAGAGAUUCAUAUUCUUCCCCCUAAUCACUUUUUAUCAUUUUGAUCUUUUUGUCUAACUGAUUUUCAACUUCAGUUUUAUAUUGCCUAAAUGCAUCUAUUGCUUCAUCCUUACUAUUUAGCAAGUAGACAUAACAAUAUCUAGUGCAAUCGUCAAUAAAAGUUAUGAAAUACUUUUUCCCACCACGAGAGGGUGUUGACUUCAUAUCACAAAUCUCAGCGUUUAUUAAGUCUAAGGGAUUGGAAUUCCUUUCAACGAACUUAUAAGGAUGCUUUGCAUACUUCGAUUCCACACACCUUUGACACUUUGAUUUAUUGCACUCAAUGUUUGGCAAAACUUCUAAGUUAAUCGAUUUUCGUAAUGUUUUGUAAUUAACAUGGCCUAAACGUUCAUGCCAUAAAUCAUAAGACUCAAGCAAAUAAGACGAAUUCGAACUUUUAUUCAUUUCAACAGUCAUUACAUUCAUCUUCUAAAGGCCCUCCGUGAGAUAGCUUUUCCUACAUACAUUUCUCCUUUUCUAACUACAAUUUUCCCAGAAACGGUUACACAUUUGAAUCCGUUCUUAUCUAGGAGUGAAANNNNNNNNNNNNNNNNNNNNNNNNNNNNNNNNNNNNNNNNNNNNNNNNNNNNNNNNNNNNNNNNNNNNNNNNNNNNNNNNNNNNNNNNNNNNNNNNNNNNNNNNNNNNNNNNNNNNNNNNNNNNNNNNNNNNNNNNNNNNNNNNNNNNNNNNNNNNNNNNNNNNNNNNNNNNNNNNNNNNNNNNNNNNNNNNNNNNNNNNNNNNNNNNNNNNNNNNNNNNNNNNNNNNNNNNNNNNNNNNNNNNNNNNNNNNNNNNNNNNNNNNNNNNNNNNNNNNNNNNNNNNNNNNNNNNNNNNNNNNNNNNNNNNNNNNNNNNNNNNNNNNNNNNNNNNNNNNNNNNNNNNNNNNNNNNNNNNNNNNNNNNNNNNNNNNNNNNNNNNNNNNNNNNNNNNNNNNNNNNNNNNNNNNNNNNNNNNNNNNNNNNNNNNNUGAACAUAGCACACAAAUCAUCAUAUUCUUUGUUGGACUCAAUCAUGUUCGCUUGGUCCUUUUUCUUGCCUUUCUUCGGGGCUCGAAAAUCUGUGAACUUGUGGCCAAUUUUGCCACAAUUGAAGCAUUUUCCCUUGAACUUUUUCUUGGGUUGAUUGCCUCCAUGUUCAACUUUCUUUAUUUUUUUCGAGUUGUUUUGGCCAUCUUCUACAAUAUGUGCUCCACUCAUUGUAGAAUUUCCCUUUGACCUUCUUUCGAAAGCUUUAUUGUCCUCUUCAAUACGAAGACGGACGAUAAGAUCUUCAACGAUCAUCUCCUUGCGCUUAUGCUUUAAGUAGUUUUUGAAGUCUUUUCACAAAGAUGGUAGCUUCUCAACUAUUGCUGCUACUUGGAAAGCAUCAUUCACAAUUAAACCUACAAAACAGUUUAUGUGAGUUUUAAGAACAUUUUUAAUUUGUUCAACUACGGUAUUUUUCAAAAAUAUACCUUCUGCUAGGAGAUCAUGUAUGAUGACUUGCAACUCCUGUACUUGAGAGACAACAGAUUUGCUAUCAAUCAUUUUGAAGUCCAGGAACCGUGCAAUAAGAAAUUUCUUAAUUCCCGCAUCUUUCAUUUUAUAUUUCCGUUCAAGUGCCCCUCACAGUUCUUUUGAUGUCUUGGUUCCACUAUAGACAUUAUAGAGGUCGUCUUGGAGACCACUCAGAAUAUAGUUCCUGCAAAGGAAAUCUGAAUGUUUCCAAGCUUCUACAAUAAAGCAGCGGUCUUUGUUCGAGGUUCCCCCGGGAACCUCGGGAGCGUCUUCGCUAGUGAACCGUUGUAGACAUAAAGUGGUGAGGUAAAAGAACAUCUUUUAUUGCCACCGCUUGAAGUCGAUGCCAAAAAAUUUUUUGGGCUUCUCCGUCGAUGCCAUCGUUGGCGGAGCAUUUGUGCCACUUGAUGUGGCAAUAUUAUUUGCCUCCAUAGACGUUGUUGCAUCUAUCAUUUGACUUUCAGUUGUCAUUUUUUCCUUUCACCACAAGACAGAAAACUUAGUAUUUUUCAGAAUACUAUUUAUAAAGUUAAAUAACUUUAAACUCCUUUUCUUGUUUCUAGUUAACGAUAAAGUUUUUAUUACUUCGAAUCAUCAACCGAGUGAACCUUAACUCGUGAUGAAGAUUUUAUGUCUUCUAAUCACUAGUUAAAUUCAAGCGGAGUAGAAAGCCUAAGCUUUAAUCUCCAAAAACAAGCAAUACAGAUUCUGUAAGAUUAUUCCUUAAGAUUGUUAUAUUCCACAAUACGGGUAUGUAGAAUCUGUAUAAUAUAAUAACAACUUCAACUCGAGUUCAAGUAUGAACAAGAACACAACGAAGUUGAACAAAUACCCUCAACACAAGAUCAAAUUGAUCUUUACAAGAGGUGUAUUUUAUAUUUCAGAAAUAUAGAUGAAACAGAAAUUGUUAAGGCCAAGUCGUCCGAAUUCACAGACUUUCCUUAAGGAAUAAUUCCCCUCACUGUACCCGAGGUUAUGGAAUCUUCCUCCUAGGAUAAAAUGGUCUUCAAUCCGACUAUAGCGGUACCUCAAAUAGGCGAAUGCUUCGAACACACUCACGAUUUGAAUGAUCACACUUAGAAUAUUUUUAAGAAGAAGAAGAAGAAGAAGAAGCUUGUAAUUCUGAAAUUUUUUUCUGUGUCCUAAACCUGUGGAUGAAAUCAGGUUUAUAUAGGCUCAAGAUGCCUCUUUGAAAAUGUGGCAAUGGCUCAAUCUUAAAGGUGUGUCUAUUCUGAAAAAUUACAUGGCUGCAGUAUUUCAUUAGUGCUGAACCAGUGUGCAGUCUUUUACUGCAACAGUGCACCUUUUCACGAAACAAUGGCACCAUUUCGAUGGAGUAUUGCAGCAAUUCAUAAAGCAGUGUACCAGUUCACUUGAACCAACAUCUGUAUGCAUGUAUGGAGUCGAAAACAUUGUACAGAAAAAUUCUACUGCAUUUCCCUUGGCAUUCUUCGAAAUUCAAAUAAAAUGUCUAAAAAAUAGAUCUCAUCCAUUAUUUGACAAGUCCAAAUCCGAAUCCGAAACCGAGUGAGCGACGACGACGGCGCGAGGCAUCUCUUAUUUCUUGCCUCACUUGCCAUGUGGAUUAAGUAUUCAUCAUUAUAAAUACUCCAAAGUUCCAUUCUCUCACCAAUGUGGGAGAAUUAGUGAACUUUCCAAUUUGAGAGUACACCUUUUAAAUUAGUGUCUCCUUCUUCCACCAUUUUUUCCUCUCCAUUUUUCCAUUCACACCUUUUCAUUACUAUGAACCCAACAACAUGUUUAUACAUAUUUAUACAAUCUUGAUACAUCACACAUGUACUACAUAACUACUUAUAUCAUGUUGAUACAUUACGUAUAUAAGUUGGAGAAGUUAUAUAUGAAUUUUCAUUGAUGAUUAAUAAAAUUAUUAGUUACCAAAAAAAUAAAAAAUUAGUCAUUUAGCCACGAUUUGUAUACCAUUUAGCCAUGGUUAAACCAUGGAUAAAAGCAUUUAUUUUUUAUUUUUUGAUAAAUAAAACAUGCCUAUACAUUUUUUUUGCAAAUUAAUUAGUUUAUUGUAUAUAAUACUAUCUAUUUGAAAGUAAGGGUGUGCAAAAACCGAACCGAUAAAAAUGUUAUUGGGUUAUUGAGUUAACAGUUUUUUAAUGGUCUUAUAAAAAAAAUUAUUGGGUUAUUGGUUUGGUUCGAUUUUUUCUUGUUGGGUUAUUGGGUAAACCGAUAAUAUAUAUAUAUAAUUUCUCUUUAAUUUUUAUGAAUUAACAAACCUAUUAUUUCAAUUAUACAAACUCUUAAAUUCUACUUAUAGAUUUUUGUAAAUUAAAACAUAUUAUGUAGGAUUUUUUAUUACAACUAAGAUUCAAUGUUUUUUUUUUAUGUUAGUUACUACUAUUUCUAUUUUAUAAGUAUUUUCGUAUCGGUUAAAUCGAAAACCGAAUCAACAAAGACUAAAAAUUGAUAAAAAAAAUAUCUUAUUAAUUUAAUUAUUGAUUUAACAUAUUUAAAAAUAAAAAAUUAAUAAUAUAUAAAAUUGAAUCAAAUGUACCGAUACACUCUAUAUUUGAAAUUAUGGCUUUUAAAACUUUAUUAAUGAGCCGUAGCUAAAACUACUAGGGUUCACGCCGUGUGUGGGAAUGGAACCCAGGACCACAUGGAAGAGCUUUUCUCCACUUUGUUCUUUCCCAU
rnacentral:lncRNA from 1 species